rnacentral:rRNA from 1 species
AUUUAUGUUAAAUUUACUUGUUUUGUAAAUAUAAUUGUGUAUUUAGAAAAUCAUUUUAUUUGUUUUUGUAUUUGUUAAUGAUAUAAUUUUUUUAGGUAAUAUAUUAUUUGUACUGUGAAGGUUUAUUGGAAUAGUAAUUAAUUAUUAAUUAAGUUGAUUUUAUUUGUUGUACCUUUUGUAUCAGGGUUAAUUAACUAUUUUUUAUGAAUAUUUAAUGUUCUCGAUUUUGUAAGAGUUAAUUUGAUUAUUUUAGUUAUUGUUUUAUAAAUAUUAAUAAUAAUAAAUUGGUAAUGAGAUGUUAAUCGUUUAUAAGGGUAUCUAGUUUUUUGGGAAAUAAAUUUAAUUUACAUUUUUUCUUUAAUUUUUUUCUUUGUAAUUAAGCUUGAGUUAAAAUGAUUAAUAAGGGGGAUAAGCUCUUUUUUAAAUUUCUAUGGAAUAAAGUUUUGUUAGGUUAUGUGGAUUUAAUAAUAAUUAUCAUUAUAAAUUUGUUAAAAUUUUAUUUAACUUUUGGUUGAUUUAAGUUUUUCUAGGUUUUUACUGAAAAUUUUUAAUUAAUUUUAAUUAAUUUUUAUUAUGAUUAAAUUAGUAUAUAAAUUGAUAUUUAAUGGUUUUAUUUUGAUUAAGUUUGAGGAAUUAGGCAAAAAUUUGUUCGCCUGUUUAACAAAAACAUCUCUUCUUGUGUUUAAGUAUGAAGUAUAACCUGCUCAAUGAACUAUUUAAAUGGCCGCGGUAUAUUGACCGUGCAAAGGUAGCAUAAUCAUUAGUCUUUUAAUUGUAGGCUGGAAUGAAUGGUUGGACGAGAUAACAACUUUCUUAGAUUUAUUAAUUUGAAUUUAAUUAUUGAGUCAAAAAGCUCAAAUUUUUUUUUGGGACGAGAAGACCCUAUAGAGUUUAAUAAUUGAUAUAAUUUAUUUUAUUUGAUGUUUAUUUGAAUUAAAUUAAUUGUUUUGUUGGGGUGAUGUAAAGAUAUAAUUAACUCUUUAUAAUAAUUACUUAUGAAUUAAUAUUUUUUUGAUCCAUUUUUAGUGAUUAAAAGACUAAAUUACCUUAGGGAUAACAGCGUAAUCUUUUUUGAGAGUUCUUAUCGACAAAUAAGGAUUGCGACCUCGAUGUUGGAUUAAGAUUAUUUCUGGGUGCAAAAGCUUAGAGGUUAGGUCUGUUCGACCUUUAAAUUCUUACAUGAUCUGAGUUCAAACCGGCGUGAGCCAGGUUGGUUUCUAUCUAUUAAUAAUUUUAAUACUUUAGUACGAAAGGACCAAGUAUUAGGAAUAAUUUUUUUUUUGAUGAAUAAUAUUAAUGUAU